rnacentral:misc_RNA from 1 species
UACGGAGGGUGCAAGCGUUGUUCGGAAUUAUUGGGCGUACAGAGUGCGCAGGCGGCCUUGCAAGUCUGAUGUGAAACCCCGGGGCUCAACUCCGGAGGCGCAUUGGAAACUGUAGGGCUUGAGUCCGAGAGAGGCCCGUGGAAUUCCCGGUGUAGGGGUGAAAUCCGUAGAGAUCGGGAGGAACACCAGCGGCGAAGGCGACGGGCUGGAUCGGAACUGACGCUGAGGCACGAGAGCGUGGGGAGCGAAGAGG